GUUUUUUAUUUACUUGAGAGGUUUUAAAGAUAUAUGUAAAUAUUUUAUUUGAUUGUGCUUUAUAUCUUAUAAACGUUGAUGCUUAUAUUAUUAGUUCUUUGUAUGCUAAUUUAGAUUGUUACAUUUUUUUUAUCAGAGUAUAGUCAAACCUUACAUGAUACGUGGGAAGUAGGAUUGCUAGAAUUGUAGAAUUGUUCUAAGUUGAUAGUAACCAAGAGUUAUUUAUGGUUUAAGGGUUUGUUCUAAGCUUGUCUCUGUGUUGCAUCAUAAAUAACUUCUAGACCACCCCUUUUUUCUUAACCUCCUCCGGAGUUUUAUUAGUUGGAGUAGGCCAUGGAGAGUAUGGAGAUUAGAGCUGUCAGUUUUAUCUCAAGCCCUGAGGCUGACCCUGACCCCUUCUAUAUUUGGUCCCUUUUUCUUGACCCACCAUUUAGGGGGCUUUUUUAAAGCCCCUAGCCCCCAAAAGCCCCAUUUUAUGGGGCUGUAAUGAAUCAGGGCCGGGUUAGCCCCUACCCCCAAAAACAAUGACACUAUCUCCAUUUUCUUCUGAACAAUCACACUUCGGCCCCCAACAAACCUCACAUCAACACCACCACUGCCACCAACCCCAACACCCCACCAGUAGCUCGCUGCCUCGCUUGGUUGGCUCUACGGCGGCGUCUUCCACCUCGGCCGCAUCGCGCACCGUCGGAUCGUGGACUCAGCGUCGCUGCGGGGCGACUCGUCGCAGCUCUACCGCAUGAUCUGCGUCUUCCUCGUGGUCGUGAUUGUGCUCUUGGGGUUCAAGCUCAUCGCGUACUUCA
rnacentral:lncRNA from 1 species